UGGGGGAUAUUGCACAAUGGGGGGGAACCCCGUGAUGCAGCGACGCCGCGUGGGUGAAGGAGCGUUUCGGCGCGUAAAGCCCUAUCGGCAGGGAAGAAGGAGGACGGUACCUGACUAAGAAGCCCCGGCUAACUACGUGCC
rnacentral:rRNA from 1 species